rnacentral:rRNA from 1 species
GACGAACGCUGGCGGCGUGCCUAAUACAUGCAAGUCGAGCGAACAGACGAGGAUCUUGCGCCUCUGACGUUAGCGGCGGACGGGAGAGUAACACUAGGAUACCCUUCCUAUAAGACUGGGAUAACUUCGGGAAACCGGAUCUAAUACCGGAUAAUAUGUUGAACCGCAUGGGUUAAUAGUGAACGACGGUUUUGGUUUCACUUAUAGAUGGAUCCGCGCCGGAUUAGCUAGUUGGUAAGGUAACGGCUUACCAAGAGAACGAUGCGUAGCCGACCGGAGAGGGGGGUCGGCCACACUGGAAGUGAGACACCGUCCAGACGCCUACGGGAGGCAGCAGUAGGCAAUCUUCCGCAGUGGGCGAAAACCUGACGGAACGACGGCACGUCAGUGAUGGAGGUCUUCGGAUCGUAAUGCUCUGUUAUUAGGGAAGAACAAAUGUGUACGGAACUGUGGACGUAUUGACGGUACCUAGUCAAAAAGCCACGGCUAACUACGUG